CAUUACAGUGUGUCUUGUACUUGGUAGAAUAACUUCUCAUAUUACAUGCGGUUACUCAGACUGUGAACAAGCCUGUGAGAUCAACAUUUUGGUUUUUUUAGCUCGAGAGCUUGCAGUGGUUUAAAGCUAGCCUGUUGAAUGGCAGUUCUGUUGGUACAGAUAGCCGCUGUACAGAUUCCUCCAACAUGUCUCAACAACACCUCGACUGCAUUCCUUAAAAACAAGCUGAAACAGGGAUUCUUGCUCUCCCUUGUCUGCUUAUCCCCCCACCCCAAAUGUGAUUUCCUUUCCUUAUUACACCUUCAUAUUGUUACCUUUAAUGGCAGUGGACUUUAGCCCAGUGCAGCUGUCAAUAUACUGUGUAGCAAGAGCAUAACUGAUGAUAAGUUGCGUCAGUAGCUCCAAUCUAGGUGAUUUCUGCUUCUUAAACAAGUCCAUGAGGCUGUACAUUGAUAUAAGUCAACAUUCUGCUUAACCUGCAUAUAGCUGAAGCUUUAAAGAAAAAUCUGAUGGACUUCAACUUUCUUAUUUAUUUGGUUCCUGUGUUGAUUGUCGCCGUCCUUGUGUGCAUAUUUUGUUGCCUAACUUAUAAUAGAGAACCAGGACAAUACUGCUCAUCUAGUUACAAUAAUUCUCCCGCUGUGUACACGAUUCCUAUACUGGACGAGCGACAGCGGGACGAGGAGGAAGUCAUUCACGUUUAUGAACUGUAUUUUCAGCCUCCUGUGUACAACUUAAGAAAUGACAGUCCUCCCCCUCCAUACAUACUUGAACCACCACCCUACAUCAACCCACCUUCACCACCACCCUACAUCAACCCACCACCGUGCCUCAACCAGCUCCCACUUCCCCCACCACCGUCGCCACUACUACUACCAGCACCACCACCCUACAUCAGUCCACCAUCAUCCCCCUAACUCAGCCCAUGACCAUUUAUGCCUUCUUCCAUCCAUUCCAAAAUAUGAGCAUAUAUGUGGUCAUAAGUUUCAUUUGGGACAUUCGGUGUAUGUAUUAGAUUAAAUGUUGUAAUUCCACAUUGUGGGAGAAAGAUUCCUGUACUGACAUAGUUCAUUUCAAACUUAAAUGCACUAAUGCACUUAUAUAUAAAAUAUGUUUUUGGUGAAAA